AAGUGACUAGUUUAAGUAAAACAUUUGAUUUCGGCUCAAAAGCUUAUGGUUAAAGUCCAUGGUUACUAA
rnacentral:tRNA from 1 species